CGGGCUUUGCUCUCAACUGCGCCACCGCGCAGACACCCCUUCCACGGGGUCUGUCUCUCCUGAGGCAGCCCAAGGCGAACUUUGCAAGUCGGUGCACGGAACUUUCCAAGUCGGUGGACGGUGGGAAUGGUUUGGAGCCAGCUCUCUGGAGAUGCUUUUGCCCCAUUCCACGUCCUCGCCCGUCCGACACCGGUACGUCCUCGUUUACUGCCCUCCUUUGGAGAGGCUGUACGUGGUGGCGGCUAGAGUUUGGACUCUGGAACCUGCCUUAGCAUCUCGGCUCCGCAGUUUACCAGCCGUGUGACCUGGGGGAAGUCCAACCUCUCCGUGCCUCAGUUGCUCGAUCUGUAGUUACUUCCUCCAGGAGUCGUUGUAAAGAUUAAAUGAACAAUGACACCGGUGCGUUAAACGGUAACAUGACAAACAGGAAUAUGUAUUGCCUGUCCUGUCUUUUCGCGAUAGGGUGCUAACACAAUGAGGUGUGUUCUUUUUACUCUGCUACGGCCCGUUCAUUCGCUAGGAUUGACAACCUGGUGUGCGUUAAUCUUAACCAUAAAUCAGUUUCUGACGGUGUCUUGGAUGUGCACUGUGCCUUGUAGACUCAAGCUAACGUUACUGCUUCUGUUGCACCCUCGUUGAAACGUCUGUGAAGAAGCACUAGCAGGUUAAGGAUCCCCAGCUUUGGAAAAGGAAUGUGAUGUGAAACUAGAAUU